rnacentral:sRNA from 1 species
GGAGUGCACCUGUAGUCCCAGCUACUCGGGAGGCUGAGGCUGGAGAAUAGUCUAAGCC